rnacentral:rRNA from 1 species
AAUAUUAAAGGCAAUGCCUGCCCAGUGAACAAUUAAACGGCCGCGGUACCCUAACCGUGCAAAGGUAGCGUAAUCACUUGUCUAUUAAUUGUAGACCUGUAUGAAAGGCAAAAUGAGGGUCUAACUGUCUCUUAUGAUCAAUCAAUUAAACUGAUCUUCCAGUACAAAAGCUGGAAUAACAACAUAAGACCAGAAGACCCUGUGAAGCUUAAAUAAAACUAUUAAACCUAAUAAUAACUAAUUUCGGUUGGGGCGACCUUGGAAAAAAAAAGAACUUCCAAACUAACAUAAAUUACCAAAAGGCUAACAAGCCAAUAACGACCCAGCAAAGCUGAUUAAUGAAACAAGUUACUCCAGGGAUAACAGCGCCAUCUUCUUCAAGAGCCCAUAUCAAAAAGAAGGUUUACGACCUCGAUGUUGGAUCAGGACAUCCCAAUGGUGCAGCCGCUAUUAAAGGUUCGUUUGUUCAACGAUUAACAGUCCC